rnacentral:rRNA from 1 species
UACGUAGGAUGCAAGCGUUGUCCGGAUUUACUGGGCGUAAAGCGUGCGCAGGCGGUUAUGCAAGACAGAUGUGAAAUCCCCGGGCUCAACCUGGGAACUGCAUUUGUGACUGCAUGGCUAGAGUACGGUAGAGGGGGAUGGAAUUCCGCGUGUAGCAGUGAAAUGCGUAGAUAUGCGGAGGAACACCGAUGGCGAAGGCAAUCCCCUGGACCUGUACUGACGCUCAUGCACGAAAGCGUGGGGAGCAAACAGG